AGAAUCAACGCUGGCGGCGUGCCUCAGACAUGCAAGUCGAACGAUUAAAGCUCUCUUCGGAGAGUGUAUAGAGUGGCGCACGGGUGAGUAACACGUAAGUAAUCUACCUUCGAGUGGGGAAUAACCCGGGGAAACCCGAGCUAAUACCGCAUAAUGCAGCGGCACCUAAUGGUGACAGUUGUUAAAGAUUUAUCGCUUGAAGAGGAGCUUGCGGCAGAUUAGCUAGUUGGUAAGGUAAUGGCUUACCAAGGCUACGAUCUGUAACCGGUCUAAGAGGAACGGUCGGUCACACUGACACUGAAUAACGGGUCAGACUCCUACGGGAGGCAGCAGUCGGGAAUUUUGGGGCAAUGGGCGAAAAGCCUGACCCAGCAAACGCCGCGUGAAGGAUGAAGUAUUUCGGUAAUGUAAAACUUCGAAAAGAAAUAGGGAAGAAAUAAAAUGAACGGUAACCAAUUUAAUAAAGGUACCGGCGUAAACUUAACGUGCCAAGCAAGCCGAC
rnacentral:rRNA from 1 species